CGGAUUGCAGGCUGCAACCCGCCCUGCAUGAAGCUGGAAUCGCUAGUAAUCGCGGAUCAGAAUGCCGCGGUGAAUACGUUCCCGGGUCUUGUACACACCGCCCGUCACACCAUGGGAGUCGGUAACGCCCGAAGUCAGUGACCCAACCCUAAAGGAGGGAGCUGCCGAAGGCGGGACUGGUAACUGGGGUGAAGUCGUAACAAGGUAUC
rnacentral:rRNA from 1 species